rnacentral:rRNA from 1 species
UUGCACCUACGGGGGGCAGCAGUGAGGGAUAUUGGUCAAUGGUCGGGAGACUGAACCAGCCAAGCCGCGUGAGGGAGGAAGGUACAGAGUAUCGUAAACCUCUUUUGUCAGGGAACAAAGACUGGGACGCGUCCCCGGAUGAGUGUACCUGAAGAAAAAGCAUCGGCUAACUCCGUGCCAGCAGCCGCGGUAAUACGGAGGAUGCGAGCGUUAUCCGGAUUUAUUGGGUUUAAAGGGUGCGCAGGCGGCCUGUUAAGUCAGCGGUAAAAGCCCGGGGCUCAACCCCGGCGAGCCGUUGAAACUGG